rnacentral:rRNA from 1 species
UACGGAGGGUGCGAGCGUUAAUCGGAAUUACUGGGCGUAAAGGGCUCGUAGGCGGCCAACUAAGUCGGACGUGAAAUCCCCAGGCUCAACCUGGGAACUGCGUCCGAUACUGGAUGGCUUGAAUCCGGGAGAGGGAUGCAGAAUUCCAGGUGUAGCGGUGAAAUGCGUAGAUAUCUGGAGGAAUACCGGUGGCGAAGGCGGCAUCCUGGACCGGCAUUGACGCUGAGGAGCGAAAGCCAGGGGAGCAAACGGG